rnacentral:rRNA from 1 species
GUGGGGAAUAUUGGACAAUGGGCGCAAGCCUGAUCCAGCCAUGCCGCGUGAGUGAUGAAGGCCUUAGGGUUGUAAAGCUCUUUCACCGGUGAAGAUAAUGACGGUAACCGGAGAAGAAGCCCCGGCUAACUUCGUGCCAGCAGCCGCGGUAAUACGAAGGGGGCUAGCGUUGUUCGGAAUUACUGGGCGUAAAGCGCACGUAGGCGGAUAUUUAAGUCAGGGGUGAAAUCCCAGAGCUCAACUCUGGAACUGCCUUUGAUACUGGGUAUCUCGAGUAUGGAAGAGGUAAGUGGAAUUCCGAGUGUAGAGGUGAAAUUCGUAGAUAUUCGGAGGAACACCAGUGGCGAAGGCGGCUUACUGGUCCAUUACUGACGCUGAGGUGCGAAAGCGUGGGGAGCAAACAGGAUUAGAAACCCUAGUAGUCC